rnacentral:rRNA from 1 species
ACUCCUACGGGAGGCAGCAGUGGGGAAUAUUGGACAAUGGGCGAAAGCCUGAUCCAGCCAUGCCGCGUGUGUGAAGAAGGCCUUCGGGUUGUAAAGCACUUUCAGUGGGGAGAAAGGUCAUUCACCUAAUACGUGAGUGAAUUGAUGUUACCCACAGAAGAAGCACCGGCUAACUCCGUGCCAGCAGCCGCGGUAAU